UCCCUUGUGGCUCAGCUGUCAAAGAAUCUGCCUGCAACGCAGGAAACCUGGGUUCGAUCCCUAGGUUGGGAA
rfam:Ovis aries breed Texel chromosome 9, whole genome shotgun sequence.